AAAGACAAGGGAAAAAAAAACAAUAGGUUCGAGGCAGGAUUUGCACGGCGAAGGACGAAGAACGAGGAAGGCAAUCCCUGGUAGCAGCAUUUUUAUGCCAAGUGCGACGGCGGCGGCAGCGUCUUUAAACGUUUUGCGGCUGAAUAUCCACCGGCAUUGUCAUUUAUGUAUCUAUUCCGAGGGCUGAUUAACUCACGUAUUCCCAUUCGGAUUCGCAUUCGCAUUCGCACUUGCCUCGUGCCUCCUGCCUUAGAUGGGGGCAAAAAGUUAUGGCCACAAACAGGAGGCUGGGGAGCUGUGAACUGGGAUGAGAUGGGGGCAAGAAGAUGGAGGCAAGGAGAUCCUGGCAAAGGUGCGUAAUGACAUUCAUGUGAUAAGCACACGCACACGCCCCCAGGUGGAAAGUGGUUGGGGAUUUCCAUCCCAGGGAUUCUGCAGCUAAUGAGGCAAAUUCCCCAAUCCAAAACCAAACGGAGAGAGCAAACCCAAACCCAAACCCCAAGCAAAUAUGUACAUAAAUCUUUGGCGGCCCUCUGGAAAAUAAAAUAGAAAACGGUAGCAGUUGUUGGCCAAUAGCUGGCCGCAAGAAAUAUGGAUUGCUGCCUAAUCACCGAGCCAGCCCAGGGAAUGGGACAACUCCUCCUAAGUCGCGCAAAUCCCAAAAUAUUUCACAACUUUAUCCCCUUAGGUGGGAUUUUUUGCGGCCAAAUAAAACCAAAAAAAAAAAAAGAAAUAUAUAUAUAUACGAAAUCGUUAAGAAAACCAAGAAAA